rnacentral:rRNA from 1 species
CUUGUCUCAAAGAUUAAGCCAUGCACGUUUAAAUACAAGCCUUAAAAUGGUGAAAUCGCGAAUAGCUCAUUACAACAGCCAUUGUUUCUUGGAUCUUACUUUCUACUUGGAUAACUGUGGUAAUUCUAGAGCUAAUACACGCACACAAGUUCCGACGUAAGAAGGAACGCAUUUAUUAGAACUAAACCAAUCGGGCUUCGGCCUGUUGUUUGGUGAAUCUGAAUAACUCCGCAGAUCGCAUGGUCUAGCACCGGCGACAUAUCUUUCAAGUGUCUGCCUUAUCAACUUUCGAUGGUAGUUUAUGUGACUACCAUGGUUGUAACGGGUAACGGAGAAUUAGGGUUCGACUCCGGAGAGGGAGCCUGAGAAACGGCUACCACAUCCAAGGAAGGCAGCAGG